AUUGAACGCUGGCGGAAUGCUUUACACAUGCAAGUCGAGCGGCAGCACGGGGGCAACCCUGGUGGCGAGCGGCGAACGUGUGAGUAACACAUCGGAACAUGCCCAGUCGUGGGGGAUAACACUUCGAAAGAAGUGCUAAUACCGCAUACGUCCUGAGGGAGAAAGCGGGGGAUCGCAAGACCUCGCGCGAUUGGAGUGGCCGAUGUCAGAUUAGCUAGUUGGUGGGGUAAAGGCCUACCAAGGCAACGAUCUGUAGCUGGUCUGAGAGGAUGAUCAGCCACACUGGGACUGAGACACGGCCCAGACUCCUACGGGAGGCAGCAGUGGGGAAUUUUGGACAAUGGGGGCAACCCUGAUCCAGCCAUUCCGCGUGAGUGAAGAAGGCCUUCGGGUUGUAAAGCUCUUUCGGCAGGAACGAAACGGUGAGCUCUAACAUAGCUUGCUAAUGACGGUACCUGAAAAAGAAGCACCGGCUAACUACGUG
rnacentral:rRNA from 1 species